GACGAACGCUGGCGGCGUGCUUAACACAUGCAAGUCGAGCGGUAAGGCCCUUUCGGGGGUACACGAGCGGCGAACGGGUGAGUAACACGUGGGUGACCUGCCCUCAGCUCUGGGAUAAGCCUGGGAAACCGGGUCUAAUACCGGAUAUGACUCCAUGACGCAUGUUGUGGGGUGGAAAGCCUUGUGCGACUGAGGAUGGGCCCGCGGCCUAUCAGCUUGUUGGUGGGGUNAUGGCCUACCAAGGCGACGACGGGUAGCCGGCCUGAGAGGGCGACCGGCCACACUGGGACUGAGACACGGCCCAGACUCCUACGGGAGGCAGCAGGUGGGGAAUCUUGCGCAAUGGGCGAAAGCCUGACGCAGCGACGCCGCGUGAGGGAUGACGGCCU
rnacentral:rRNA from 1 species